GAUGAAGAACGUAGCGAAAUGCGAUAAGUAAUGUGAAUUGCAGAUUUCCAGUGAAUCAUCGAAUCUUUGAACGCACAUUGCGCCCCUUGGUAUCCCGAGGGGCAUGCCUGUUCGAGCGUCAUUUCACCACUCAAGCCUGGCUUGGUGUUGGGCGACGUCCCCUUUGGGGACGCGCCUCGAAACGCUCGGCGGCGUGGCACCGGCUUUAAGCGUAGCAGAAUCUUUCGCUUUGGAAGUCGGGGCCCCGUCUGCCGGAAGACCUACUCGCAAGGUUGACCUCGGAUCAGGCAGGGAUACCCGCUGAACUUAAGCAUAUCAAUAAGCGGAGGA
rnacentral:misc_RNA from 1 species